rnacentral:rRNA from 1 species
AGCGAACGCUGGCGGCAGGCUUAACACAUGCAAGUCGAGCGGGCGUAGCAAUACGUCAGCGGCAGACGGGUGAGUAACGCGUGGGAACAUACCUUUUGGUUCGGAACAACACAGGGAAACUUGUGCUAAUACCGGAUAAGCCCUUACGGGGAAAGAUUUAUCGCCGAAAAGAUUGGCCCGCGUCUGAUUAGCUAGUUGGUGAGGUAACGGCUCACCAAGGCGACGAUCAGUAGCGGUCUGAGAGGAUGAUCAGCCACAUUGGGACUGAGACACGGCCCAAACUCCUACGGGAGGCAGCAGUGGGGAAUAUUGGACAAUGGGCGCAAGCCUGAUCCAGCCAUGCCGCGUGAGUGAUGAAGGCCCUAGGGUUGUAAAGCUCUUUUGUGCGGGAAGAUAAUGACGGUACCGCAAGAAUAAG